GUAGUCCACGCCCUAAACGAUGUCUACUUGCUGUUGGGAAUUAUCUUAGUAGCGAAGCUAACGCGAGAAGUAGACCGCCUGGGGAGUACGGUCGCAAGAUUAAAACUCAAAGGAAUUGACGGGGACCCGCACAAGCGGUGGAUGAUGUGGAUUAAUUCGAUGCAACGCGAAAAACCUUACCUGCUCUUGACAUGCUAGGAAGAUUUCAGAGAUGAGAUUGUGCCUUCGGGAACCUAGACACAGGUGCUGCAUGGCUGUCGUCAGCUCGUGUCGUGAGAUGUUGUCUUAAGUGACGCAACGAGCGCAACCCUUACUACUAAUUGCCCCAAUUAAGUUUGGCACUUUAGUGGGACUGCCGGUGAUAAGCCGGA
rnacentral:rRNA from 1 species